rfam:Oryza glaberrima chromosome 12 Oglab12_0067_5, whole genome shotgun sequence.
AAUAAGUGUAGUUUUACACUGUUUAUUCCGACGUUUGGCCGUUCGUCUUAUUUAAAAAUUUUUAUGAUUAAUAUUUUUACUGUCAUUAGAUGAUAAAAUAUGAAUAGUACUCUAUUUUUUUCAAUUUUUUCAUAAAUUUAUUAAAUAAGACGGAUGCUUAAAUGUUGGACACGGAUAUCUACUGCUGCAAUUAUU